GAUGAAGAACGCAGCGAAAUGCGAUACUUGGUGUGAAUUGCAGAAUCCCGUGAACCAUCGAGUCUUUGAACGCAAGUUGCGCCCGAAGCCAUCAGGUUGAGGGCACGUCUGCCUGGGCGUCACAUAUCGUUGCCCAAUGCCUAUUGCAGUGCAAUAGGAAUUUCUAGGGCGAAUGAUGGCUUCCCGUGAGCGUUGUUGCCUCGCGGUUGGUUGAAAAUCGAGUCCUUGGAAGGGUGUGCCAUGGUAGAUGGUGGUCGAGUUAGAACGAUACCGAUCAUGUGCAUGCUCCCCAAAAUAUGGCCUCUAUGACCCACACGCGUCUUUUGACGCUCAUGACGAGACCUCAGGUCAGGCGGGGCUACCCGCUGAAUUUAAGCAUAUCAAUAAGCGGAGGA
rnacentral:misc_RNA from 1 species